rnacentral:misc_RNA from 1 species
UGGGCCAAAUUAGUACAGUUUCAUCAGUUUGAUCAGUUUGUAGUUAACUCCUACCAGCAACAAUGCUCGUAGUUAACAUCUUCAAUAUGCAAGGCUUUUCCUGCAUGUUCCCCAAUGGAAAGAACCCUGUAGGGAGUAUUAUUCACUAUUGCUGCAGAAGUUAUGUAAUGCAGAAACAUAGCAGGAGCAAAAUAUAUUCUAUUGCUGCAGGGAGUGCCAUGAUGCAGAUUGGCCAUGGAAUAACACACCAUGGAGCGGAGUUUGUAUGAGACAGCAAGUUGACACGAUGAUCGAUCAACCAAAAUCGAUACUAUUUUCUUCAAUAAAAAAAAAAAAAAAAAGGGGGCA